rnacentral:rRNA from 1 species
CAGCAGCCGCGGUAAUACGUAGGGUGCGAGCGUUAAUCGGAAUUACUGGGCGUAAAGCGUGCGCAGGCGGUUUUGUAAGACAGGCGUGAAAUCCCCGGGCUCAACCUGGGAAUGGCGCUUGUGACUGCAAAGCUAGAGUGCGGCAGAGGGGGAUGGAAUUCCGCGUGUAGCAGUGAAAUGCGUAGAUAUGCGGAGGAACACCGAUGGCGAAGGCAAUCCCCUGGGCCUGCACUGACGCUCAUGCACGAAAGCGUGGGGAGCAAACAGGAUUAGAUACCCGCGUAGUCCCUGUCUCUUAUAC